ensembl:lncRNA
CCCCUGGGAGGAAGGAAAGGCACCGGGUUGCCUUUGCACGUGGUCUCAGCUGCGUUCCGGGGUUGCGGACUCGGGUUCACGCAUCUCGUGUUAAACGAGCGUCCACCGCAGUCUCUCUCUGGGGUGAUGCGGCCCUGGAGGACGUUUUGAAAUAUUCUGGGAAGACGGCGAGCGAGAGAAGGUCUGGAUGAACUACGAGAUGUUCCAGGCAGGUGUGGGAGAGUGUGGGGGCAGCACCAGUGGCUGAUCCCUGCCUGGACGGGUCUGCGGGGGGGGGGGGAGGGCGCUCGCUGACGGGGGGCCCUGAAGCCGAGGCUCUAUGGCUUGUAUGGAAUUGACCUGAAAUAGAGAUCGCCUGUAAAUACACCGGCUUCCUGCCAUCGGUAAUGAGAGAAAACUCUAUUUUAGCGAAUGAGCACAGCCACUGAGUGGAUAGGUGCUACCCGGCUCCAGAUCAUCUCAUUUCUGGAUUAUUCUACCGGGGCUCGUUUUUAAAAUCAACCUCUAAACUUGCAGAAACUAGUCAGGUAUGAAUUAAAUGCAUGCUGACGCAUCCGAGUGAGCGAACUUGGGACUUUUGCCCACGGUGCAGAUUUCUUGGUUGGGAAUCCACCCUUCCCGGGCUCAGCCAGCCGAGGGGCUGAGACCAUCUGUGGCAGCCUUUACGGGGCUCAGACACGGAGGCGUCCUUGACACGUGGUGCCCUUCGUGCGAGAUGUCUCCACAGAUAUUCAGGUCAGAAAACUGACCGAAAGUCCUGUGUGUCUGGCCACUGUAUUCUGGAGUAUGACCGAGGACGCGGUCCUUUGAAAGCGUCUCCGCGGAGAGCGGACUCCCGGGAGGAAGCGUGCCCCACCCGCCUGGCCGCGGAAGGCACCAGCGACGGCUGAGGGUACCUUGAGAAUCCCGGAAUCAAGGGGGAAACGAUCCGGUAUUUCAAACAGAAUCGUGUCUCCUACGUGUCUGCUCCAUUACAAUAGGGAGCUCUUUACUAGAGCUACUGUCCGUGACACGGAAGUCACGUCUCCGUUUUCUGUUUCGACGGAGACCCCUCGAGACGAGCAGGCAGUCCCACCACUGAAGAAUGUAUCUCACGGGUGUUCGGCACAGGGGAACGGGCCACGGGCAUCGUCGUUUCUUUAAAGGACACUGUUCGUCGACCAGAUUACCAAAACAGUUCACCUGUCUCCAGUAAGUUACACAUUUUUGUGAUUUUUGGUACCUGCGAAAUAUUUUUUGGUCAAAAUGUAAAGCUAUGAAGUGAGUGUUUUCUCUAUAAUUAAAGGGUAAGUCCUGGGUAAUUAUACAUCCCCCCCCCCCCCCCCCGCCCUUGUUAACUGUUGAAAGAAUCCGAUUGAUGAAGGGUUUUGAAAAGUAACCUUUCUGGGACGUGAUUCCGGGUUAAUAGUUUAUCCACGAACGCACCGUCGUAAAAUCUCAUUUGCUCCGUAAAAGCAAAUCUAAAAUGCAGAGUUAACGAGCCAGAAGAAUUUUGCAAAUCUAACACCGAGAUUUUUGGCCCCACGGAAAAUUUGUCCUUAUAAAUGCCUAGUUUUGGGCCCAAGCUCCCAAGACCGUGGCUUCUGUGGUCCUCUCACGUAUGAAGCGAGGUGUGACAGCUAAUGGUCAGUGCAGCCGAG